CAGCCUAGCACUUACUGCACACAGACCAUCGUGACACGUCAAGGUCGCUGAUGAUGUCGUAGGCAUAUGGGCCCUCUGGGAGCUGAUAUAGUUUUUCAACCCUGCUUUGCCUGCCAGCUAGUAGACAUGAACAAGUGGAUGAAGGCAUUCUGGAUUUCGUGAAGGUUUCUCAUCUGGCUUUUAAAAAACCCAUCAACGUUGGAAAACCCAAGGCCUCUGUGAGCAUACCAUGGCCUUUAAAGAG